rnacentral:tRNA from 1 species
GGGCAUUUGGUUUAGUGUUAUGAUUUUUGCUUAGGGUGUGAGAGGAUUUAAGUUCAAUUCUCAAAAUGCCCC